rnacentral:rRNA from 1 species
GACGAACGCUGGCGGCGUGCUUUACACAUGCAAGUCGAACGAUGAUGAGUGCUUGCACUUUGAUUAGUGGCGAACGGGUGAGUAACACGUGAGUAACCUGCCUCAGACUCUGGGAUAACUCCGGGAAACCGGGGCUAAUACUGGGUAUGACAUCUCCUCGCAUGUGGGGGUGUGGAAAGAUUUUUUGGUCUGGGAUGGGCUCGCGGCCUAUCAGCUUGGUGGUGGGGUGAGGGCCUACCAAGGCGAUGACGGGUAGCCGGCCUGAGAGGGUGCACGGCCACACUGGGACUGAGACACUGCCAAGACUCCUACGGGAGGCAGCAGUGGGUAAUAUUGCACAAUGGGCGCAAGCCUGAUGCAGCGACGCCGCGUGAGGGAUGACGGCCUUCGGGGUGUAAACCUCUUUCAGCAGGGAAGAAGCGUGAGUGACGGUACCUGCAGAAGAAGCGCCGGCUAACUACUUGACAGCAGCCGCGGUAAGAC